rnacentral:piRNA from 1 species
UCAAACAUGAGCCCUACAGGUCCUCCUGCCU